GACGAACGCUGGCGGCGUGCUUAACACAUGCAAGUCGAACGGAAAGGCCCUGCUUUUGUGGGGUGCUCGAGUGGCGAACGGGUGAGUAACACGUGAGUAACCUGCCCUUGACUUUGGGAUAACUUCAGGAAACUGGGGCUAAUACCGGAUAGGAGCUCCUGCUGCAUGGUGGGGGUUGGAAAGUUUCGGCGGUUGGGGAUGGACUCGCGGCUUAUCAGCUUGUUGGUGGGGUAGUGGCUUACCAAGGCUUUUACGGGUAGCCGGCCUGAGAGGGUGACCGGCCACAUUGGGACUGAGAUACGGCCCAGACUCCUACGGGAGGCAGCAGUGGGGAAUAUUGCACAAUGGGCGGAAGCCUGAUGCAGCAACGCCGCGUGCGGGAUGACGGCCUUCGGGUUGCAAACCGCUUUCGCCUGUGACGAAGCGUGAGUGACGGUAAUGGGUAAAGAAGCACCGGCUAACUACGUG
rnacentral:rRNA from 1 species